rnacentral:rRNA from 1 species
GUGGGGAAUUUUGGACAAUGGGCGCAAGCCUGAUCCAGCAAUGCCGCGUGCAGGAAGAAGGCCUUCGGGUUGUAAACUGCUUUUGUACGGAACGAAAAGGCUCUGGUUAAUACCUGGGGCUCAUGACGGUACCGUAAGAAUAAGCACCGGCUAACUACGUGCCAGCAGCCGCGGUAAUACGUAGGGUGCAAGAGUUAAUCGGAAUUACUGGGCGUAAAGCGUGUGCAGGCGGUUUUGUAAGACAGGCGUGAAAUCCCCGGGCUCAACCUGGGAAUGGCGCUGGUGACUGCAAGGCUGUAGUGCGGCAGAGGGAGAUGGAAUUCCGAGUGUAGCAGUGAAAUGCGUAGAUAUGCGGAGGAACACCGAUGGCGAAGGCAAUCCCCUGGGCCUGCACUGACGCUCAUGCACGAAAGCGUGGGGAGCAAACAGGAUUAGAUACCCCGGUAGUCC